ensembl:lncRNA
GAGAGAACAAAAACCAAGCAGGCAAAGAGCAGAGCUGUCCAGAGGGGGCAGGGCUUGGGGCAGGGCCUGUGCCGGAGGGUGGUCCAGCAGAGUGGUGGCCUCGGGGCCCAGGCUGGAGGGGGCCUGGCACAGUUGAGGCCUGGUGUGGGCCCAGAAGGAAGGGGGCCCAGGCACAGGUAGAGCCUCGGGGCCCAGGCUGGAGGAGAACCAGGCUCAGUUGGGGCUGUGUUGGGGCCCAGGAUGGAGGAGGACCGGGCACAGUUGGGGCUGCUUUGGGGCCCGAGCUGGAAAGGUGCCUGGCACAGUUGGGGCUGCUUUGGGGCCUGGGCUGGAGGGGGGCCUGGCACAGUUGGGGCUGCUUUGGGGCCCGAGCUGGAAAGGUGCCUGGCACAGUUGGGGCUGCUUUGGGGCCUGGGCUGGAGGGGGGCCUGGCACAGUUGAGGCCUGCUCUUGGCCCAGGCCAAAGGGAGCCCCGGCACAGCCAGGCUCUUGGUGCCCAGGAUGAAGCAGGACCAGGCACAGUUGGGGCUGCUUUGGGGCCCAGGAUGGAGGAGGACCGGGCACAGUUGGGGCUGCUUUGGGGCCCAGGAUGGAGGAGACCCAGGCACAGUUGGGGCUUCUUUGGGGCCCAGGCUGGUGGGAGGCCCGGCACAGCCAGAGCCUUGUGGCUGCACUCUCUCUGUACAGUUCAACCUUGAUCCAUAACCUAAAAUGGUAACUGUAGUGAAAGGCAGUAGCUGAUCCAGCUGCUUUCCUGUGUUUUAAUUUUCCUAAGAAUGGGGAAGGACUCAAGCUAGUAAACAAAGAGCCCUUUCUGAAGAACAGGACUCAGGAAGUAUUAGCACAGAGCAGAUCUGCCAGUAGAGAUUCUUCCCCUUAGACAGGCAGCCCUUAAACGAGGGUGGGGAGGGCUGGAGCCAGGCUCCACCCCUUUUUUGCCCAGGUGAAAUGCUUGCAGCUGUGCUCCACAGCAGAAUGUGUUUUAAUGAAUCCUGUGGAAGCCUGUGAAAUCCAAGAAUCCUUUCUUCCUUCUUUCUCGUUUGUGUUUGUUGCCUGCAGUUCCAAGCAGGUGGGCUCUCAGUGUCUUGCAAGUGACACCUAGCAGCAGCAGGUCCAGCCAGGAGGCACAGCACCCUGCAACCUCCAGGUGAGUGACAGCAGGCAGGCAGGCAGGCCUUGGGGAUCUGCAGGGUCAUUGUGUGGAGCAUUAUGCCCAGGACCAGCUGAGUGUAAAGAUGAUGUCCGAGCUGCAGAGCUAAGCAUAACGGAGAGGCCCAGCGGCUCAGCUCGUUUCCCAGCGUAAGGCAGGAAAUUAGAGCCACGAGGGAUAUGCAGACGCUUUCUGCUUUUGUCUGUUGCCUCCCUCCUUCUGCCCCUGUCAGAGGGGAGGAACGAGCUGCACUUGCACAGAGACAUUGCUCUCACGGCCACUCCCCCCUCAGGUUGGAGCAUUCCUGGCUGCAGGAUGGGCAAACCUAAGUUCUUGCCUAAUUGUGUCAGUAAAGCUUAGAAAGGGACACAAACUAUGGCGUCUUGGCUCAUGAAGUGAGAGAGGGGAUGCUGUGCUAUUGGGCUGCAGCCAAGAGUCUGAGAGAGUCUGUGUUAUGUGAGAUUUGAGAGACAGUUCUGGGGAGUGUGGGAGCAGCGCAAAGGAAAUGCGAGGGUGCUUUUCCUUUCAGGGGCCUUUGUGCAGCAGCAGAUGUUGAUGCCCUAGAAGCACGGUGCGGAGCACAUCCUGGGAUCAAGGUGCCACGGACUGGAAAAUGCUGCUGUGG